UGGGUUAGUCAAGGCUGAAGGAGCAUGGAGCAACGAGCUAGCUGUCACAUCGCAUUCACAGUCAGAAGGCAAAGCCAUCAGUGCAUGCUACUUCUUAACCCUUUCUUCACUUACACAGUCCCAGUGGGAAGCAACAGAACCACCCACGACAGACAGGUGUGAAUCUUCCUCCCUCAAUUAAUGCAAUGGAGAUUAUCCCCAGAGGCCCAUGUCUCAGUGAGAACAUCAACCAGAAAUUAAGUCUAUGAUACCUCACCUGAAAAAGAAGCGGUCAGUUUUGUCUUUUCAUCUUGAGAGACUGAGCACUGACACCCCGCACAUCAGAUAUCCUGUAACUUGACAACAUAAGCCUGAACACAGAAUGAACUGACACAAUUAAUAUCCUGAAAAUGAUGGAUACCGGGGAAAUGGACACUCAGGAGUGUCACAUGCCUCUCUUCAGAGAAGAAACAUCUAUUUGGACCAACAUAUUUGGCACCAAUAGAAAAGAUGACCUCAAGUAAUCAAGUAAUCAAGCCUUCAGCCCAGAGCAACCAUGGAAAAGACAUUUAUUUUAUGUCCAUGAAUGCUUUGCCUGGGAGAAGGCAUUCGAUGCCCUGGAACUGGAAUUAUGAAUGUUGUGAACCAUCAUGUGGAUGCUGGAAACCAAAGCCAAGUCCUCUUGUAAGAGCAACAAGUACUCUAAACCAUGAGCUACCUCUCCAGCUACUUGGUCUUCUUUUGAGAUUGGGUCAAGAUGGCCUUGAACUCCCUAUAUGCAGUCAAGGGUGACCUUGAAUUCUCCUCCUCUGGUCUCCACCUCCUACGUGUUGGGAUCCCAGGCAUUAAACACCAUGUUUUCUAAGGUUC